rnacentral:ncRNA from 1 species
GGUCAAGUUUUUUUUAAGAGCAUUCGGUGGAUGCCUUGGCACCAGGGAGCCGAAGAAGGACGUUGUAGCCUGCGAUAAGCCUCGGGGGAGCUGGCAAACGAGCUGUGAUCCGAGGGGUGUCCGAAUGGGGGAAACCCGGGCCAGAGUCAUGUCUGGGUUACCCGCGCCUGAAUAUAUAGGGCGUGUGGGGGGGAACGCGGGGAAGUGGAAACAUCUGCAGUACCCGCAGGAAGAGAUAUUCCGUGAGU